rnacentral:rRNA from 1 species
AAUGAACGCUGGCGGCGUGCUUAACACAUGCAAGUCGAACGAGAAACCCCGGCUUGCCGGGGGAGUAAAGUGGCGCACGGGUGAGUAACGCGUGGGUAAUCUACCCUCGAAUUGGGGAUAACACAUCGAAAGGUGUGCUAAUACCGAAUAAGACCACGAUGGCUUCGGCCAUUGGGGUCAAAGAUGGCCUCUGCCUGCAAGCUGUCGUUUGAGGACGAGCCCGCGUCCCAUUAGCUUGUUGGUGGGGUAAGAGCCCACCAAGGCAACGAUGGGUAGCUGGUCUGAGAGGAUGGCCAGCCACACUGGAACUGGAACACGGUCCAGACUCCUACGGGAGGCAGCAGUGAGGAAUUUUGCGCAAUGGGGGCAACCCUGACGCAGCAACGCCGCGUGAGUGAAGAAGGCCUUCGGGUUGUAAAGCUCUGUCAAGCGGGAAGAAACUUUUCCGAAUGAACAGUUCGGAAAAUUGACGGUACCGCUGAAGGAAGCACCGGCUAACUCCGUGCCAGCAGCCGCAGUAACAC